rnacentral:lncRNA from 1 species
GCCGCUGCUGCUGCGGGAUGCACCGUCGAGAGGUCGUGGCUGCUCGGAUUGGAAGCGACGAACCCUUCAGGCUUUCGUCUUCGUCGCCAUUUUGUCUCCACUAUGCUUGGCACCCGGUGCGGAUGCUUUGUUCCUGAAGAAGAAGCUCAAGCUUUUGAAGGCCAGCAAAGGCAAGUUUGGUCUUAGGCCCCAGCCCCAGCCGCAGCACGCGGUCGGCGCAGCGUGGUUGCCGCCGCCUCAGUGGGUGCCGCCCCCUCACCCGGUGCCGC